ACUCUGCUGACGAGCGGCGGACGGGUGAGUAAUGCUUGGGAAUAUGCCUUAUGGUGGGGGACAACAGUUGGAAACGACUGCUAAUACCGCAUGAUGUCUACGGACCAAAGUGGGGGACCUUCGGGCCUCACGCCAUAAGAUUAGCCCAAGUGGGAUUAGCUAGUUGGUGAGGUAAUGGCUCACCAAGGCGACGAUCCCUAGCUGGUUUGAGAGGAUGAUCAGCCACACUGGGACUGAGACACGGCCCAGACUCCUACGGGAGGCAGCAGUGGGGAAUAUUGCACAAUGGGCGCAAGCCUGAUGCAGCCAUGCCGCGUGUGUGAAGAAGGCCUUCGGGUUGUAAAGCACUUUCAGUAAGGAGGAAAGGUUAAGUGUUAAUAGCACUUAGCUGUGACGUUACUUACAGAAGAAGCACCGGCUAACUCCGUGCCAGCAGCCGCGGUAAUACGGAGGGUGCGAGCGUUAAUCGGAAUUACUGGGCGUAAAGCGUACGCAGGCGGUUUGUUAAGCGAGAUGUGAAAGCCCCGGGCUCAACCUGGGAACUGCAUUUCGAACUGGCAAACUAGAGUGUGAUAGAGGGUGGUAGAAUUUCAGGUGUA
rnacentral:rRNA from 1 species